CGAACCGGUUACCGUUGCAAAGGUAUCGGAUGACCUGUGAUUAGGGGUGAAAGGCCAACCAAACUCGGAAAUAGCUGGUUCUCCGCGAAAACUAUUUAGGUAGUGCGUCGUAUGAUUACCGCCGGGGGUAGAGCACUGGAUGGGCUAGGGGGAUCCAAAGUCUUACCAAACCUAACCAAACUCCGAAUACCGGCGAGUACAGUACGGCAGACAGACGGCGGGUGCUAAGGUCCGUCGUCGAGAGGGAAACAGCCCAGACCACCAGCUAAGGUCCCUAAGUCAUGGCUAAGUGGGAAAGGAUGUGGGAAGGCCAAAACAGCCAGGAGGUUGGCUUAGAAGCAGCCAUCCUUUAAAGAAAGCGUAAUAGCUCACUGGUCUAGAUAAGCCAGCCUGCGCCGAAGAUGUACCGGGG
rnacentral:rRNA from 1 species